AGGUUCAGGUGUACUGGCCCAGGUGUGUUCCAGUGUGCUGAGACUGGAGUGGUGUUUGAUAUGGCUCAGGAGGCAGAGCUGAUGUACAGGAUCGUUCAAUGGAUGAGAGUCGCCUCGAACUGACUGGUAAAGAAGCUGCAGGACCGCUGUUCAACAUCCAGUGUUCUGAGGAUGCAGUCCGUCAGCUUCACUUCCCACACUGUGAAACAAAGGAUGCGCUGAGUAUUGACGGCCUGCUGUCUGUUGCCCACUUCACUGAUGAUGGAAUGAGCAUCUUGAAGCCGCUGCAGAUCACUGACACUCAUGUGGUCGUGGAGGUCGCUCACCUCUCUGGAUUUGGCCUCAUCUGGGAUCCUGAUAAAAGGCGACUCUCACGCCGAGUAAAAGGACAAGUGCUGCUGUUCCUCCGGCCUCCAAUCAGAGGUCCUCGAACACUUGAUGUGUUUCUGCUGCUGAAGAACGUCCCUGUAAGAGAGGUGAAGUGAUCAGAUGUGUGUCUGAUGCUGUGGUUGUAAUCAGAACCCAACUGAGCUAUCAGCACCGUCAACCUUCUCUAUCUUUACUGGCUACCAGUUGCUAUCUUGCCUCUGUUCUGGUGUCCUGGUGUCUCCUAACUGGUUACCAAUGACCUACUACUACUUCCACCCUCUUUCUUCUUUCCACUCUCUCUGGUAGGAUCCCAGGGACAUAUUCUGUAAUUCUUAUUGUAAGAACUUUGGACAACAUCUAAGGUUUUAAUAACAUCUAUGAAUAAAUAGAGCAGACUAUUUGAUCAUUCACACUAUGAUAAAUGUGUUCUUGUCUUGAAGGUUGCUGCCCAAUGAGAAAAAUGCAGAAUACAUUCAGAUCUCAGCUGACUGUUUGUUCAGCUUUGGUCGCAGUUACAGUGUCCGCUGUGAACAGGAUGGUUUGGAAAUACAGCCGGCACAUGCAAAGUUUCAUUCACAUUUUGGACCCAAUUUCCACCCAACUUUUGAAGUUUUCCUGAUGACAAAUCCAGAUUUAUUGACUUUGAAGGUCCAAGACCAAGAGGAGAAAGAAGUCUGGAAACGUAAUGUUCAUCUGAAAGCUCCAGAAAGGGACACAGAGCAGAGAGUCCAACCACAGUCAUCAGUUCGGACACGGUUGAUUCAGGGGUUGUCAGACGUUACUGUGGACCAGCUCCUGGACAGACUCUAUGACCAGAGAGUUAUCAGUGGAGAAGAGAAGGACGUCAUCAGAGCACAGAUCGGAGCAGAAAAAGCACGGCAGCUCAUCAACCGGGUUCAUAGAAAGGGACCUGAUGCUGUUUCAGUUCUGAAAGCUGCCCUUCGUGAGGUUGAUCCAUUCCUUUUCAGAAACCUGAACCUGACGUAAAACAAUAAAGGAGUUGAGAUGUUGGAAAUCAGCCGAUUCUACCAUUAACCAAGCCAACAGAAUAUGUGUAAGGCUGUUUCCGCCCAGUUCUUUUGAUGGAGUAGUCAGGAGACUUCUUCUUAAAAUCAAAAGUAUUUAUUACAGCAAAACUGAAUGUGAUACAGAGCUCUGGGCCUGAAUCCUCUGUCUCUAACCAACAACAAGUGUUCAGUCAGUUCAGAUGGAAUCAGACUAACUGUUCCUGACCCAGUCUUCUUAUACUCUAACAGUGUGUAUAGCUAUCUAUCUAGGCUGCCCCCCCCCUCUGAUGCUGCGUUGUUCCGCUGUCCUCUGUCACAGCUGCUGUUUUGUCAUUACGCUCACGUAGGAAUGACUUCACCGCUGCAAAGCAAGAUUAGAAACUGCACACACAACUCGCUCAUGUUCUUUACUGAUUAUGGCUUAUGUCAAACUAUCUGUACCUUUAUUAUCAAAAACUGUCUGUACUUUGAUUAUCAAUCACUUUAUGUCUUGAUCAUCCUUGCAUUCAAUCACAUGAGUAAUAAGUAAAAUAAAGCUGGACUUAU